GCUUUAUAAGUCAAUUAGCAAGACCGGGGGUAAUCGUAGCAGUUAUAUUAAGAAAGAUAUCUUAAGCUGGAAACAAUCUCACUUAAACUACUUAAUUUUAGAAUUUAAUAGUUAACUAGAACCGUAAGAUCGCCGUUCAUUUAGGUGGAACAGUAUGGAUGUGAGACAAUCGCACAUCGACAUUUUCUUUUAAUUUCAUUGCAUACAUACACAUUUUAUUUAGUUGGAUAUUAGUUUAAUUCACUAUUAAGUAAUAAUGAAUCUUAUCUAAAAUAUAAAGAUUAAUUAGUAAAUUUAAAGGCGACUUUCAUUUCACUGUCGCUUGAUAACCAAUUCAUGGAUUUCAUUUUAUUUAAAGCAUCGUUUUCUUAUGGUAAUUAGGAUUCUCUUUAGAAUUUUAAUUUCUUAGUGAAUCGAUCGGUAGGAUUCUUUUUAAAAGUUUAAUUUCUUUAUUAGUGAAUCGAUCGUUGAACAGUCGAGGCGCCCUGCGGGAAAUUGGCGGCAACCAUCACCACGUGGUGUCGUCUAUUGCAUGUCUCCAGAAAACUACUACACGUGGCGGCUUUCUCAUUUAGUAUUACUGAAGCUAUUUCAAUGAUGACAACGAUGACGAGUCUGAGGGCAAUUUGCUGUCUUCGUGGUACAGUUUUUGUACUUUUGAAGUGCAGUUAACUUGCCAUAUCUGCUGCUUCUAGAGGCAUUUGUCUGAGAAAUAGCUGCUUUCAAUACUUCAUUCAUACUAUGCCCCGAGUAGUUUUUCUAACCUCUGUGGAACUUGAUCUAUAUUUUACGUCACGAAUUGGCAGGUUUAUCGAGAGGCAGGCCGCACUAAAAGAAAAUCGGGGAAAUUUUUAGUUAGGUAUGCAAUUAAGGAGUCAUGCGAGCUCCAUAUAAUAUAUACUAUUGAUAAUUUUUCGCUAGGGGUCCUAUUGUCUUACGGGUCGUGGUGAGAAAUAGUAAUUUUUCGUUAGGGAUUCCAUUUAAAGUCCCGCAGGUUCCCUCGUAACUGGUUUACAGUAAAUCGUUCUGCAUUUUCUCUUUAUUAGUUGGGGUUAGCAGGAAUGCAUCUGGUGUUCAGCUAGCAGUAAUUUAUAGUUUUGAUAAUUAUUAGUUUAAAACAAAAUACCUAUUAGGAGUUAUUUGUGUGGUUGAAUUUUAAUAGGGUCUGCGAAGGUGCUGUUUGCCCUGAUGAAUUCUUGGACUAGAGUCUCUGAAAAAUUUUAAUUUGAAGACAAACUGUCCACUGAGCAAAUAAUAUCUUUCGUUAUCUGUCGAUCAUGCCAUAUUUGUUCACAUACUGUAUAAAUUAGUGGUAGGCUUCGUGAGUCAUUCAUACCGCAAUCGGGUCUGUAAUCACAGCUUAGAAUUUUUUUUUUUUUUUUUUUCGGCCAGUUUAAUUUACACGUUAGUCACUUUGAUCGAUUAUCACGGGUUUUUUUCUAUACGACCAUUAUUUUUUAACAGUAGGGUGCAAUUUGGUUGUGAUUUUUAGCAGAAGUGGGUUUCCGUUUUUUUUUUCCCUCUGAAAAUUUCCAUGGACUGGGUGACUGGGUUUUAGUUUCGACGGAUUCACUUUUAUUCUAUUCUAGGAUCGUUUUUCAUUAGUUUAUUCCUAAAUAUUUCGUUUUAUUUGGUCGACUAUGGCGCUGAUUUUUUUUUAUUUGGAUAUCUGCAGAAAUGGUUUACAACGAAUACCUUUUCGUUCAUGACUAGGGUCAGGUACUUCGUCUUUAUGCCGGCAUUUAAUUUUGUAGAAAUAGCAGCCAACUCCUUAGGGGUAAGGAACUCUAUGAUAGUAAAAUAGCCGUAUUGCUUCGUAUUUCAGAUUACUUAGAUAGAACUUUGCAUUUUGACUUGGUACAGAUUUCGUUUUAGUCAUUUUUAAAUAAAAUUUAACUAUGGUGAUAAGUUAUCUAGUCACAAUGUUCUGUUUGAGAUGUCCCAAAAAUGAUGAUUUCGUGGAUCGACUGAUUUCUGACGAUUAAUCCUUUUGCCCCUAUCUGAUUUGGGACAUUUCAUUAGCCGCUAUUUAACCUCCGUUUUUCGUGCUAGCAUGGGUUGGGCAAUUUGACCAGACCUACUAAGGACUGGUCGCAUCAGGCUCCAACGUGGUGGCCACAGCAGUAUAUAUAUAUAUAUACAAGCCAAGGUGAAUCGAGGGGGCGCUUUUUUCAAUAAAAUUCGGACUUUGGUACAGAUGUGAACUUGACAUUUGGCUGUUCAAAGAAGACUUAAAGUAACUGGUGCUGGCUUUUGAGAUAGGACGAAAUUAGUUAUCAAGUACCUGAUAUUGGUGUGGUUGCUACAUCGGGGGGUGGCACUCUAGCUUUGCUAACAGUGCAAAAGUGGGGCAACUUAAUUUCAGAGGGGUGGUAGGUGUCUCAAAGAUUACCCAAGGUCCAGGUGUGUUACAACUGCUCUCACUGAGGAAAAUGUUGGUCAUGUUCACUGCAUGCUGAUGGACAGCAGGUGAUAGACUAUAAAUCAGAUGGCCUAUUCUAUUAGCAUAGGACAGGAAUAUUCUCUGCACAAUGAAUCUGGCGAUAGUUUCUGCUUGUCGGAUGCCAUGUUUUCUAACGCCCGAUGAAAAGUGCACCACACUGAUCACAUCAUGCGAAAAUCUGCAGUAAUUGCCUUAGUUUUUUAAGCUGUGGAUUUUUAGAAAAUAGUGGAAGAGCAUGUUCUGUAGACAAAAUGGAAAUAGAUGUAUGUUAGCAAUCUUUCCAACUUUAUACAUAUAUUUUUUAUAAACGCCUGCGAAAGAAAAUUACUAGUGGAAGGUCAAUGUAGAAAUUUAUAGUAAAAGUGGGAAUGGUAUUCUAAACCAGCCCAGAUAAGUGAGGGAUCCACAGUGGUAUAGAACCAACAGGGAGACUGCAGUUGCUUGACCUGCUAAAAGUAGUAGCUACAUCAACCCCUUUCAGAAUAGAUAUUUGAGUUUUUUAGUGCAUAG